CGCCGCGUGAGGGAUGACGGCCUUCGGGUUGUAAACCUCUUUUAGAGGGGGAAGCGAAAGUGACGGUACCUGCAGAAAAAGCACCGGCUAACAUACGUGCCAGCAGCCGCGGUAAUACGUAGGGUGCAAGCGUUGUCCGGAAUUAUUGGGCGUAAAGAGCUCGUAGGCGGUUUGUCGCGUCUGCUGUGAAAUCCCGAGGCUCAACCUCGGGCUUGCAGUGGGUACGGGCAGACUAGAGUGCGGUAGGGGAGAUUGGAAUUCCUGGUGUAGCGGUGGAAUGCGCAGAUAUCAGGAGGAACACCGAUGGCGAAGGCAGAUCUCUGGGCCGUAACUGACGCUGAGGAGCGAAAGCAUGGGGAGCGAACAGGAUUAGAUACCCUGGUAGUCCAUGCCGUAAACGUUGGGCGCUAGAUGUAGGGACCUUUCCACGGUUUCUGUGUCGUAGCUAACGCAUUAAGCGCCCCGCCUGGGGAGUACGGCCGCAAGGCUAAAACUCAAAGGAAUUGACGGGGGCCCGCACAAGCGGCGGAGCAUGCGGAUUAAUUCGAUGCAACGCGAAGAACCUUACCAAGGCUUGACAUACACCGGAAACGGCCAGAGAUGGUCGCCCCCUUGU
rnacentral:rRNA from 1 species